rnacentral:lncRNA from 1 species
CCUGGGCAGAGCAGAGGAGCCAGACCCAGGUGCUCCCCAAACCCGGCCCGGAGCCCGCGAGAACUGGGGGCGGAGGGUGUACUUAGGCGGCCCUGGGGACCUUGACGGGACAGCUCAGCAGCAGGGGAUGGGGGCUCGGCGGCCGCGGAGAUGUAACACCUCCACCUCGGGCGAAGACCUCAUAGCCUGCGGGAGAUGGGAGUCCGGGACGCGGACAGGACGGGCACUUACCUACGAAUAGCCAGAGGGAGCCCCCCGACACGAGGAAGAAGAGAGAAGGCAGUCAUCUUUAAGACAAGGAGAGGUCUUGCAGACCAGACACCAACUCUACCAUCACCUUGACCUUGGAUUUCCAGCCUCCAGAAUCAUAAGUAAAUAAAAUUCUGUUGUUUAAGCUA